CGCGGGGUGGAGCAGCCCGGUAGCUCGCCAGGCUCAUAACCUGGAGGUCGCAGGUUCAAAUCCUGUCCCCGCAA
rnacentral:tRNA from 1 species